GACGAACGCUGGCGGCGUGCCUAAUACAUGCAAGUCGAACGCACAGUUUAUACCGUAGCUUGCUACACCAUAGACUGUGAGUUGCGAACGGGCGAGUAACGCGUAGGUAACCUGCCUGGUAGCGGGGGAUAACUAUUGGAAACGAUAGCUAAUACCGCAUAAUAUUAAUUAUUGCAUGAUAAUUAAUUGAAAGGUGCAAUUGCACCACUACCAGAUGGACCUGCGUUGUAUUAGCUAGUAGGUGAGGUAACGGCUCACCUAGGCGACGAUACAUAGCCGACCUGAGAGGGUGAUCGGCCACACUGGGACUGAGACACGGCCCAGACUCCUACGGGAGGCAGCAGUAGGGAAUCUUCGGCAAUGGACGAAAGUCUGACCGAGCAACGCCGCGUGAGUGAAGAAGGUUUUCGGAUCGUAAAGCUCUGUUGUAAGAGAAGAACGGGUGUGAGAGUGGAAAGUUCACACUGUGACGGUAUCUUACCAGAAAGGGACGGCUAACUACGUG
rnacentral:rRNA from 1 species